rnacentral:rRNA from 1 species
CACGUAGGGUGCGAGCGUUGUCCGGAGUUAUUGGGCGUAAAGAGCUCGUAGGCGGUGUGUCGCGUCGGCCGUGAAAACCUGCAGCUUAACUGUGGGCUUGCGGUCGAUACGGGCAUCACUGGAGUUCGGCAGGGGAGACUGGAAUUCCUGGUGUAGCGGUGAAAUGCGCAGAUAUCGAGAGGAACACCUGUGGCGAAGGCGGGUCUCUGGACAGUUCCUGACGCUGAGGCACGAAAGCCAGGGGAGCAAACGGG